GAUGAAGAACGUAGCGAAAUGCGAUAAGUAAUGUGAAUUGCAGAAUUCAGUGAAUCAUCGAAUCUUUGAACGCACAUUGCGCCCGCUAGUAUUCUGGCGGGCAUGCCUGUUCGAGCGUCAUUUCAACCAUCAAGCCUUUAGGCUUGUGUUGGAGCCCUGCGGCCUCCCGCAGCCUCCUAAAUCUAGUGGCGGGCUCGCUAUCGCACCGAGUGCAGUAACUAUUAUCUUCUCUCAGGGCGUGUGGCGGGUGCUGGCCGUGAAACCCCCCCUUUUUAUCAAGGUUGACCUCGGAUCAGGUAGGAAUACCCGCUGAACUUAAGCAUAUCAAUAAGCGGAGGA
rnacentral:misc_RNA from 1 species